CAGUAGCCACGGUAAUACAGAGGAUGCAAGCGUUAAUCGGAAUUACUGGGCGUAAAGCGCGCGUAGGUGGUUCGCCAAGUUGGAUGUGAAAUCCCCGGGCUCAACCUGGGAACUGCAUCCAAAACUGGCGAGCUAGAGUAUGGUAGAGGGUGGUGGAAUUUCCUGUGUAGCGGUGAAAUGCGUAGAUAUAGGAAGGAACAUCAGUGGCGAAGGCGACCACCUGGACUGAUACUGACACUGAGGUGCGAAAGCGUGGGGAGCAAACAGGAUUAGAGACCCCGGUAGUCCCUGUCUCUUAUAC
rnacentral:rRNA from 1 species